rnacentral:rRNA from 1 species
UACAGAGGGUGCAAGCGUUAAUCGGAAUUACUGGGCGUAAAGCGCGCGUAGGUGGUUUGUUAAGUUGGAUGUGAAAUCCCCGGGCUCAACCUGGGAACUGCAUUCAAAACUGACAAGCUAGAGUAUGGUAGAGGGUGGUGGAAUUUCCCGUGUAGCGGUGAAAAUGCGUAGAUAUAGGAAGGAACACCAGUGGCGAAGGCGACCACCUGGACUGAUACUGACACUGAGGUGCGAAAGCGUGGGGAGCAAACAGG